CUUUCAAGUGUUUCUCCAUUUCCCCUUCUAAGGCACCACCCUUAAUGAACUACAUCUAGGAAGGGAUCGUAAAGAAAACCAAGCCAAACAUUUAAGAAGUAUUUUCUAACUGGAAGUUGUGCUGUUUUUUUCCAGCUACAGCAGCUCCCUUUUCAGCUGAGGACAGGAAGUGGGGCAACAGGGCGCAUCCCAGCCCAAGAGCAAGGAUGCACUUGGGAUGGACAGUAACUCCCGUUGGUGGUGAAAUGGAUCCACUCCACACUGCAGGCUCUCAAUCAGUCCAGCUCAACAGAACAGAAUUAGCCACUCACGCUGUCUUUAUGUAACUACUCCCCUCUUUGAUUGACUGAGACCUAGAAACUUCUAGCAAUGGAGUUCUUUGGUGUUCUAAAUCUAAUUUCACUGAAGUGUCUAACAGAUUAAAGGUAUUAAAAAUAUUUGAUGAA